UCUUUGUGUUCUUGUCUCUUCUUUGUGUUCUGGCUCAGCCUGCUCUCCCAGUGAUAAAGACAAAAAUAAGCAAGGCAAAAACAAACAACAACAACAACAACAACAAAACGCUCGAGGAAAGCCUUUUAAUGGGCAUAAUGUUGCAACUUUGGGGUGGCAUGGGAAGCUGUCGACAGCUGACUUGAAAGCUAAACCGAGGGGCUGGAGAAAUGGUUCUUGAUUAAUAAGAUGGGCUGCUCUUCCUGAAGCGUUUGGUUCCCAGCACUCACAUCAGGAGGUUCCCAUCUGCCUGAAUUCUAGCUGCAGGGGACCUGACACCCUCUUCUGGUCUCAGCUAGCACCUGCACACAUAUGCGCAUGCACUCAUGGACACACACACACACAAAUAAACAAUAGAUAAAAAUUUAAAAUGAACUGAACAAGAACUAGCAAGAAGGAGAGUGUGGCAAUGAUUUUUGUACCAAUCAUGGCACAGCUCUUCAUGGAAAUACAGGAUUGUAAAGUGCACCAAUCACAAGCCUUCUUGCUGGACCUCCGGGGAAGGUGUACUCCCUCUAGCUUAGGUGAAUAUGGCUAGAGGGCCAUUUAGAGUUCACAGACCUUCGUCUUAAAGUUCUGCCUUUCAAAGCCUAUAGAGACUGUCUGGAGUGGUCAUGACUGGAGCAUGUCUUCAGUGGUCCUUGCAGCUGUUAGAGCAACCUCAGAGUGAUUGUAAAUGCCCCAAGCUGCCAGGCUGCCUUUAUGGUAGUCUGGCUGGUUGCCAGUAAAGCUGCUUGACUGACAGCUCCCCAUUCAAGGCUACCAGGCGUAAUGGAAGGCCCUGUCAAAUGUCUGCUCUUGACUGUUUUAGCCAUUCUUAAAAAGCUUAAAAGUGUGUUGCAAUAAAGACUUAAUGGAAAUCCAAAACAGACCUAACAAUUCUAAUAGUAUUUCACAGUACUUGACAGUAUUCAACUAACUCCCUGACCAAGAGGAGAGGUGGGUCCCUUUGGUCUGCCUCACUUUGAAAGACACACCUAUCUCCUUUCAUGAUAAGAAUCUUUUCAAAGGCUCCCAGCAUUUGUGUAUGUGUGUGUGUGUGUGUGUGUGUUUAUAUGUGCAGGUGUAUGCUUGCUCUUCUAUACAAUCCUCCUUUAAAGAUAAGCACUUAUAACAUUCUAUGAUUUUUUUUUCAGGGAUGGAGAGAUAGCUCAGAGGACUCAGGUUCAGUUCCCAGCACCCACCUGGCAUGGACGUAACUGUCUGCAACUUCAGUUCCAGAGGAUCCAAUGCAACACACACACACACACACACACACACACACACACACUGAAAAUAAAAAAGUCUUUUAAAAAUGUUUACAAUUUCCCCCCAAAGUGCAGGGACUGUGCAAAACUAGGAAGCGGGGGCGGCUGUUGAAGUUUGGGAAAGAGAGCUCUGCAGAAUCCCAUCCAUCUAGUGCUUUUUCCAGCUGUCCUGUUGUAUUUUAAACUAAAGGACCGGUGACAGAACCACAUAGCACCAGAUGGCUGUGACAUACAAGACAUAUGUCUUUAGCUCCUCACCAGCACUGACCUGUGGGGUGUGUGUGUGUGUGUGUGUGUGUGUGUGUGUGUGUGUGUGUGUAUGUGAACAUACCCCUGUUUUCCUUCACUUCAUGUAAGGACUUCCAAGUGCCAUCACCAGCUUAGGGCUUAAGCUUGGAAUUAAGGGUGGAAGGUGGUAGGGGCCAGCUCAGCAAGGCAUCUUACCUGUUAGCAGGGCCAGUUCCGUGUGCCCAGUGUCCCAAGUUGCCAGGCUACAGUCCCUCUAGAAUUGUGCUCUCUCUUCCAGGGAAGGAGGAACAUGGUAUCUGGAAGGAACCCAUCUCAGGAGUGGUCUAGAGUGGUCAUGUCUGGAGCAUGUCUUCAGCCAUGGUUACAGUGAUAUAUCAGCCAUGUGGGUCCUCACUCUCAGACUUCCCAGUCAGCUCCUUCAAAACACUGAGCUCAGUCCCAAGAGAUACCGCCAGAUGAUGUGGUCUCAGCAAGCACAGUGUUCCACCACCUGGCUCCUACCUCAGGGACAGUAAAUUCUACCAGGGUCUCACCUAUGACUCAUGACACAGUUCUUCUGUCUCAGAAACAGGAACCAUGCCUCCAUCCUAGAGGACAAUGGAAAGCAUGCUCCAGUCCAGACCUUGCCCAUCUUGGUAGCGUCUUCACAGUCCUGGCAUGGGAAUGCUCACCCCUGGCUUCCAAGCCCACUGGCUCCCCCUGCUGGUGCAGGCUUCUCACCAGCAGCAGUGAGGUCUAGAGGAGGGGGUCUCUGCAGAUCUGGAGAGGGCUUUGUGGGACUGGACUGUGGCAUGAGGAAUGUCUCUGUGCUGGACUUUUCCUCCUGUUCCAGAACUGCAGCUGGGACCCGAAGCUGAGUGCCGAAGCUGCAAAACAAACAAACCCUGAGGCGCCAUGCCCUGGGCAUUCAGAGGAUCUAGCUAUUGCUCUAGCAUCAUGCACACUGCCACGUUCCCCACCAUGAUGAUAAUGAACUGAACCGCUGAAACUGUAAGCCAGCCCUUAAUUAAAUGCUUUCUUUUAUAAGA